rfam:Treponema azotonutricium ZAS-9, complete genome.
CGCAGGAUAGAGCAGUUGGCAGCUCGUCGGGCUCAUAACCCGGAGGUCGUAGGUUCGAGUCCUACUCCUGCUA